rfam:Octopus bimaculoides Scaffold44109_contig_21, whole genome shotgun sequence.
GUGUGAGCUUCAGUAAUACAUAUACUAAAAUUGGAAUGAUACAGAGAUUAUCAUGGCCCCUGUAUAAGGAUGACAUGCAAAUUCAUGAAGCAUUUCAUAUUUUC